UGAGGUCAUCUCCACGACGAAGGGACCAGAUGGUACUCAGGUGUCCAUCCUGACCACCAACCAGACUCACACUGCAGUAGAGAACCUCAAACCCGAGAGCAGCUACGAGUUCAAGGUGAAACCCAAGAACGAGCUUGGAGAGGGGCCACCCAGUGAGCCUGUGUCCUUCAACACUGAAUCAGCGGACCCACGUGUGAGUGAGAAUGUCUCAGGAAAAGAUGCCAUCUG